AAUCAACGCUGGCGGCGUGCCUCAGACAUGCAAGUCGAACGAUUAAAGCUCUCUUCGGAGAGUGUAUAGAGUGGCGCACGGGUGAGUAACACGUAAGUAAUCUACCUUCGAGUGGGGAAUAACGUCCGGAAACGGACGCUAAUACCGCAUAAUGCAGCGGCAUCGCAAGAUGACAGUUGUUAAAGAUUUAUCGCUUGAAGAGGAGCUUGCGGCAGAUUAGCUAGUUGGUAAGGUAACGGCUUACCAAGGCUACGAUCUGUAUCCGGUCUAAGAGGACGGUCGGACACACUGACACUGAAUAACGGGUCAGACUCCUACGGGAGGCAGCAGUCGGGAAUUUUGGGCAAUGGGCGAAAGCCUGACCCAGCAACGCCGCGUGAAGGAUGAAGUAUUUCGGUAUGUAAACUUCGAAAGAAUAGGAAGAAUUAAUGACGGUACUAUUUAUAAGGUCCGGCUAACUACGUGCCAGCAGCCGCGGUAAG
rnacentral:rRNA from 1 species